GCAAUAUUGACGCAGAGCUGUGACAAUGAAGUGGAUAACAGUUAUCGUCUUGGGAUUAUAUUCAGUUUAUUGCUAUGAUAACGGCAAAAGUUCCAAAGUUCAUCUAGUCAAUACUAGCCUAAACGGGGUUCAUUAUCCGAAUCAUACGUUUCAUCGCCAUCAUAACGGAGCACCGAUUUCGACCGGCUACGGCAAUACGGGUUAUACUCCAGCGCCGAAUCACUCAUGGCAUCCAACCAAUGGACCAUGUGAUCCAGCAAUGGGACCAUGCCCUCCAACCCCGGCAUUUUGGACAAUAUCGCCAAUACAUCCAACUAGUGGAUAUGGUCGCAACCAACGAUCAAAGAAAUAACGCUAGCGUGUCAUCUACGAGGAUUCCCGGAAGGAUUACAGAUUACACUAAACAAACCUACAAAUAGGGUAGCGAUGGAAAAAUGACCAACAAAGAUCGCUCCCUUGACGCAACUUCUCGUAUGAGGACAUCAACAUAGAUGAAUAUAAUGAAAUUAGGUUUGAAUAAUCCGUUUAAUAAAUAAGCGCAGUCAAUAGAA